GCAGAAUUUUAUCUGUGGCUGUCUGGUCCUUUUAAUAUCGGUAGUACCAAUAUGGUUUCCAAGGACAUGAUGUACUCCCAGUGCCUAUUGUAAUUUUAUUUUUUAGCUAUUUUUAUUGGAAUGAAUGAAUAAACUAUUAAAAUACAAAGAAUCCUUUUAUAACUAUAAAGGAAAUGUGUAAAAAGCAAUGAAAAGGAUAAGAAAUGGUUUCUAAAUUGAACAGUUUGUUUUAUUAUUAACAAUAACAAUAAAGUAAGUCACACAGCUCAUAAGUCCUCCCAGAUGAGACAUCUGUGGGAUUCUCUAGUUUGAAAAGAAACUUAGCUUAUAAACAUGUCAGCCAUGUCCCGAAUAAAAUGAGGAUUUCGCACUACAUGGAAAUGAAACUAUUUGUUCUUCAACAUGUCCAAGAUUCAGUGUUAUUUUAAGAUGCUUUUCCUUCCAAUUAAAUAGGACAUGUUUUCCAUCAGCUGCAGAGGGAAAAGGUACCAGUAACUUUGAUGAAUAUAAAUUGCUUAAGCUACUAAACUUAAGAUCAUAGGCUGUCAACCACUGAUACAAAAUCUAAAUCCAAUCCAGCUCACAGUGUAAAGAGUCUGAACCUUUGUUAGCAAAGAUCAUCUCCAUAUUCUGGUUACCACAUUUGACCUUUAAUGAGUUGGGACAGCUAAAUGAUUUUGAAGAUGGGAGUGGUGUAACUAGUUAUAACUGUAACUAGUUCCUAAAAAUUUACCGUACUUUUUUUUUUUUUGUGGCAUGAAAAAGAAAAGAAAAAAGAAAGGAGAGAGGUGUAUUUAGUAGCCAUUGAGAUACACAACAUAAAGGGAGUUAGUGAAAGCUUCUCUUUUUCCAUGCCCCUGUCCCAGAAACAAUGUGAGGACUUGUCCUCUGCCUCUAAGGUGAUGUCAGUUUUAUCAAUGACAACGUGUCAAUUAAAUGCUCCCAACUUUGUAUGCAAUGCUUUUCAACUUUCACUGACUCUAUUCGACUCUCUUCUCUGCUCACGGCAAUAAUGAAUCAUGAUAUAUUACAACAAAAAUUAAAGAAGCACAAUACACUUCCUGAAGGCUCCACAAAUGGGAAGAAGGGAAUGGAAAGAAUGUGGCCUUCAGCAUCAUACAAAUCCAUCACUUAAGAGCAUUAUGACCUCGGUCAAACUAUUUCACUUCUGCCGAGGAAGUGGGGGGCAUUUUCAUCAACUAUAAUAUGGAGGACAAUAGUUUUUCACAGAGUUGUGGCGGAUAGUAUAAACAUAAUAUAUUUUGAAGCACCUAGCACAGGGUAAUUUUUAAAUUUUUUGGUUUCUUACUUAGAAUAUUAAAUAUACAGAGAAUUAUUUUUUUUCUGAUGUCUUAUGCAACCUCUUUUUUCAUAUUCAGGGCCAAUGGCUACCCUAAAGUAAAAUGAUUCAUUCAUGACAGAAAAAAGGAGACUUUGCCCAUAAACUUCUCCUAAACUAUUAUAGAAAUGAUGCUUUGAGGAUCUCAUCUUCAUUCUAAACGUAGCAGAGUGGCUUGAAGGGUUAAGUGCCACACAGGACCUGACUAAAAUCCUGUGAAGAGAGGAGGGGUGUCCCCAGCUGUUCUCACUGUGCAUAAUCCUGGAAGAAGUUCAUGGUGCUUCCUGUAUUAACAUCCUUGCAAGUGGUACCUGCCUCUCUGAGGAUCCAGCUACGCAAUGAAUCUGAGAAAGCUUAAAAUCGGAAAUGCUGCUCUAGUAAUGGUUCUCAAACCCUGGUGGUCUUGACAUACAGGUCUUAUUAAAACACAGUUGCUGGGCUCCACCUAAGAGAUCUGGAUUCUGAAUUUGUAUGUCUAACAAGUUUCCAGAAGUUUGAUGCCACAAUGGAUGCUACCAAUGACACCAUUUGAUUUGGAAAUAAGGAGAUAGGCCCAAGUUUUUAUCGGACACACCCCUCAUUCUUCGUUCAUCACAGCAUCCCUGAAAUUGAAAGCCAGCAGCGACCCGAGUCAAUUUUCUACACUCAAAUUUGCAUGCCUGGUGUAAAUUUCCAGGAGCUUUCCUCCUGGAAAGCCAGUGUCUCAUACGCCUCCCAGCAAACACUGACCACAUCCUGAACGAAGCUAAGCACUGUGUAAUGCUAAGCAGACCUGGGCCCGUAGGAAACAAGAUGCCACAUUCGGGACAGCUGUCAGCACUCAUCCAACACCCUGCCUUCCACUCGUCCAUCCCUGCAAUUAGUGAGGAGUGAGGUUUGGAGCUGUGCCAAUUCAACCUGGAAUGGGAAACAUCGAGCUCUGACACCCUUAAGAGCUACCAAGAUUUUGUGAUGGAAAUGAAGCUGACAGUUUUGUCAGGGAUGUGAGAAGCAGAAUCAGAUUCAGCUAGUUCCUGCGGAGAUGUGCUGGCUCUAUCAAGAUGAAGAUAAUAAAAGUAAGUUUGGUGGGUAAAAUGGGUAGAUAUAACUCAAAGACACAUGGGAAGAGAUACUGAGCGAAAGGAUGACAUUUCACACAUUACUGAUCAGGGGAGCAGUGCCUUGGCCAAGGGUUCGGUAACCACUGGAUGGAAAGGAGAGACUUGAGUGUUUCCCUAGGAUCACCUACGUCCUACAUUUA
rnacentral:lncRNA from 1 species